AACCCGUAAGCCGAAAAGGGUAUUAUAGAGUAGGCA
rnacentral:ncRNA from 1 species